UGGGGAAUAUUGCACAAUGGGCGCAAGCCUGAUGCAGCCAUGCCGCGUGUAUGAAGAAGGCCUUCGGGUUGUAAAGUACUUUCAGUCGGGAGGAAGGUGUCAAGGUUAAUAACCUUGGCAAUUGACGUUACCGACAGAAGAAGCACCGGCUAACUCCGUGCCAGCAGCCGCGGUAAUACGGAGGGUGCAAGCGUUUAUCGGAAUUACUGGGCGUAAAGCGCACGCAGGCGGUUGAUUGAGUCAGAUGUGAAAUCCCCGGGCUUAACCCGGGAAUUGCAUCUGAUACUGGUCAGCUAGAGUCUUGUAGAGGGGGGUAGAAUUCCAUGUGUAGCGGUGAAAUGCGUAGAGAUGUGGAGGAAUACCGGUGGCGAAGGCGGCCCCCUGGACAAAGACUGACGCUCAGGUGCGAAAGCGUGGGGAGCAAACAGG
rnacentral:rRNA from 1 species